GCAAAAUAUUUUCCCUGCAAAAUCCCCCAUUCAACAACCAAUAAUUCUCCAGCUUGUUAACAAUCUGGAGACAUGGAGCCAUUGCAUCUAGAAAUAUCGAGUUAACAUAGUAAUUUCCGAUGUAAAGCAUAUUCUCCCUGGAGGGGUCAACUGCGCUGCGGUUCUACAAUGGAGAUAAAAACAGCAUCAAGCUUGGAUUUGAUAUCCUUUGUUAUGAAGAUGUGAUUGCAUUCUACUUGUUACAGGAUCCAAAGUAAUAUCAUCUUAUAUUACAAAUGAAUAUUUGAAUCCAGUUUCAAAGGUAAAAUAACUACAGAGCAUGGUACCAAAAAAAAAAAAAAACA
rnacentral:misc_RNA from 1 species